UCUCCGUUGGUAAACCAGCGGAGGGAUCAUUACCGAGUUUACAACUCCCAAACCCCUGUGAACAUACCAUUUGUUGCCUCGGCGGUGCCUGCUUCGGCAGCCCGCCAGAGGACCCAAACCCUUGAUUUUAUACAGUAUCUUCUGAGUAAAUGAUUAAAUAAAUCAAAACUUUCAACAACGGAUCUCUUGGUUCUG
rnacentral:misc_RNA from 1 species